rnacentral:rRNA from 1 species
GAUGAACGCUGACAGAAUGCUUAACACAUGCAAGUCAACUUGAAUUUGGGUUUUUAACUUAGAUUUGGGUGGCGGACGGGUGAGUAACGCGUAAAGAACUUGCCUCACAGCUAGGGACAACAUUUAGAAAUGAAUGCUAAUACCUGAUAUUAUGAUUUUAAGGCAUCUUAGAAUUAUGAAAGCUAUAAGCACUGUGAGAGAGCUUUGCGUCCCAUUAGCUAGUUGGAGAGGUAACAGCUCACCAAGGCGAUGAUGGGUAGCCGGCCUGAGAAGGUGAACGGCCACAAGGGGACUGAGACACGGCCCUUACUCCUACGGGAGGCAGCAGUGGGGAAUAUUGGACAAUGGACCGAGAGUCUGAUCCAGCAAUUCUGUGUGCACGAUGAAGUUUUUCGGAAUGUAAAGUGCUUUCAGUUGGGAAGAAAGAAAUGACGGUACCAACAGAAGAAGUGACGGCUAAAUACGUGCCAGCAGCCGCGGUAAUACGUAUGUCACGAGCGUUAUCCGGAUUUAUUGGGCGUAAAGCGCGUCUAGGUGGUUAUGUAAGUCUGAUGUGAAAAUGCAGGGCUCAACUCUGUAUUGCGUUGGAAACUGUAUAACUAGAGUACUGGAGAGGUAAGCGGAACUACAAGUGUAGAGGUGAAAUUCGUAGAUAUUUGUAGGAAUGCCGAUGGGGAAGCCAGCUUACUGGACAGAUACUGACGCUAAAGCGCGAAAGCGUGGGUAGCAAACAGG